rnacentral:rRNA from 1 species
UAGGGAAUUGUUCGCAAUGGGCGCAAGCCUGACGACGCAACGCCGCGUGGAGGAUGAAGGACUUCGGUUCGUAAACUCCUUUCGACCGAGAUGAACAGCUUUCGACCUAAUACGUUGAGAGCCUGACAGUAUCGAGGGAAGCAGCCCCGGCUAACUCCGUGCCAGCAGCCGCGGUAAUACGGGGGGGGCAAGCGUUGUUCGGAAUUACUGGGCGUAAAGGGUUCGUAGGUGGCCAACUAAGUCAUACGUGAAAUCCCUCAGCUUAACUGGGGAACUGCGUCUGAUACUGGUUGGCUUGAGUGCAGGAGAGGAACGCGGAAUUCCAGGUGUAGCGGUGAAAUGCGUAGAUAUCUGGAGGAACACCGGUGGCGAAGGCGGCGUUCUGGACUGCAACUGACACUGAGGAACGAAAGCCAGGGGAGCAAACGG